rnacentral:rRNA from 1 species
GACAGAGGGUGCAAACGUUGUUCGGAAUACUGGGCGUAAAGCGUGCGCAGGCGGUUUUGUAAGUCUGACGUGAAAUCCCCCGGGCUCAACCUGGGAAUUGCGUUUGGAGACUGCAAGGCUGGAGUCUGGCAGAGGGGGGGUAGAAUUCCACGUGUAGCAGUUGAAAAUGCGUAGAGAUGUGGAGGAACACCAGUGGCGAAGGCGGCUCUUUUGGUCUGUAACUGACGCUGAGGCGGCGAAAAGCGUGGGGGAGCAAACAGGG